rnacentral:lncRNA from 1 species
UCGAGACGAAUACGUUGCACACGUUCUACGCUAAAAAUCGAACUUUUCAGGGUGCAAGAAGUGUUUUUUUUAAUCGUUUUUGUUCGUUCACUUGCCCUAUUCGGAUUAUAGCGAUGACAGCAGUCAGUUUUUGCGUAAAUCUUGUUUUUUAGAAAAAUGGCAGCAAUUACGGUAUUGGAGGGUGUGGCUUUCUUUAAGAAUCACAUUAAGUGGUUUUUUCUGGGUUUAGAUGUGUAAUAUAUUUGGCUAUUGUUUUAAAAAAGUUACCUACUUAUGCCCUAUUUCUUUUUCCGUAGAAGCAAAGUGCCUCAUUAUUUAUUUAAAAGUACUAUAAAUAUAGGAAUUGGAGCGUCAACAACAGUAAACUAAUAUACCAUCUGGACCAGAAGCUCUUCCAUUCUUCGCAUUUCAAAUAAAUCGAAACACAUUAUUUAAUCAGUCGUCGUCGUCGUCGUCGCAUCGAUGGACCAAACGAACUUUCGACCCAGAAACGCUUCAAAGGUUUCUUAUUCAGCCGGGCCGCAGUCUAGCACAAGCCGGCAACCCAGCCACAAUAGGUGGGGAUAAACAGCCGGGAUCCCGCUAAGGGGACGCGACGUUGCCGGCUGCUUCAUAAAAUCGUCGGUUUAGGGAUAUGUAAUUUUUAAUGCGCAAUAAGGUUUUUAUAGCAAUUAAUUUGAAUGUAAAAGUUAAAUAAAUAUUUAAUCGGUUGCUUG